GACGAACGCUGGCGGCGUGCUUAACACAUGCAAGUCGAACGGAAAGGCCCUGCUUUUGUGGGGUGCUCGAGUGGCGAACGGGUGAGUAACACGUGAGUAACCUGCCCUUGACUUUGGGAUAACUUCAGGAAACUGGGGCUAAUACCGGAUAGGAGCUCCUGCUGCAUGGUGGGGGUUGGAAAGUUUCGGCGGUUGGGGAUGGACUCGCGGCUUAUCAGCUUGUUGGUGGGGUAGUGGCUUACCAAGGCUUUGACGGGUAGCCGGCCUGAGAGGGUGACCGGCCACAUUGGGACUGAGAUACGGCCCAGACUCCUACGGGAGGCAGCAGUGGGGAAUAUUGCACAAUGGGCGGAAGCCUGAUGCAGCAACGCCGCGUGCGGGAUGACGGCCUUCGGGUUGUAAACCGCUUUCGCCUGUGACGAAGCGUGAGUGACGGUAAUGGGUAAAGAAGCACCGGCUAACUACGUGCCAGCAGCCGCGGUGAUACGUAGGGUGCGAGCGUUGUCCGGAUUUAUUGGGCGUAAAGGGCUCGUAGGUGGUUGAUCGCGUCGGAAGUGUAAUCUUGGGGCUUAACCCUGAGCGUGCUUUCGAUACGGGUUGACUUGAGGAAGGUAGGGGAGAAUGGAAUUCCUGGUGGAGCGGUGGAAUGCGCAGAUAUCAGGAGGAACACCAGUGGCGAAGGCGGUUCUCUGGGCCUUUCCUGACGCUGAGGAGCGAAAGCGUGGGGAGCGAACAGGCUUAGAUACCCUGGUAGUCCACGCUGUAAACGGUGGGUACUAGGUGUGGGGUCCAUUCCACGGGUUCCGUGCCGUAGCUAACGCUUUAAGUACCCCGCCUGGGGAGUACGGCCGCAAGGCUAAAACUCAAAGGAAUUGACGGGGCCCCGCACAAGCGGCGGAGCAUGCGGAUUAAUUCGAUGCAACGCGUAGAACCUUACCUGGGUUUGACAUGGAUCGGGAGCGCUCAGAGAUGGGUGUGCCUCUUUUGGGGUCGGUUCACAGGUGGUGCAUGGCUGUCGUCAGCUCGUGUCGUGAGAUGUUGGGUUAAGUCCCGCAACGAGCGCAACCCUUGUUCACUGUUGCCAGCACGUUAUGGUGGGGACUCAGUGGAGACCGCCGGGGUCAACUCGGAGGAAGGUGGGGAUGACGUCAAGUCAUCAUGCCCCUCAUGUCCAGGGCUUCACGCAUGCUACAAUGGCUGGUACAGAGAGUGGCGAGCCUGUGAGGGUGAGCGAAUCUCGGAAAGCCGGUCUCAGUUCGGAUUGGGGUCUGCAACUCGACCUCAUGAAGUCGGAGUCGCUAAUAAUCGCAGAUCAGCAACGCUGCGGUGAAUACGUUCCCGGGGCU
rnacentral:rRNA from 1 species